rnacentral:tRNA from 1 species
GAGGGUGUAGCUCAAGUGGUCAGAGCGUUGGGCUGUGGCCCCAAAGGCUGUGGGUUCGAGUCCCAUCACCCUCCCCA